GGUGAAGUGGGUGAGUGGCUGAAACCACCGGUUUGCUAAACCGACGUACUCUAAUCGGGUACCGCGGGUUCGAAUCCCGCCUUCACCGC
rnacentral:tRNA from 1 species